rnacentral:misc_RNA from 1 species
UCUCCGUUGGUGAACCAGCGGAGGGAUCAUUACAGAGUUGCAAAACUCCCAAACCCUUGUGAACGUUACCUAUCCCGUUGCUUAGACGGGCGGCCCGGCCCCCGCGCCCGGCGCCCCCCGGCCCCCCGUGGGCGCCCGCCGGAGGUAACCCAAACCCUUGAAUUGCAUGGCCUCUCUGAGUCUUCUGUCCUGAAUAAGUCAAAACUUUCAACAACGGAUCUCUUGGUUCUG